rnacentral:lncRNA from 1 species
UAUUAAAGAAAAUAAGAGAUGGGUUGAUAUUCAGGAAAAUUCUGUACAUGAAAAAUUCCGAAUUUCACAUCAAUUACAGGUGAGGUUUGAGCAUCAAAAGUCAGCACAGCCAAACCCUCAGCACCUCACAAGAAAAUCAAAAAAUUCAAAAUAAUCCUUCCCCAAGCUGGAAAUGAGUCCUGGGUUUCCUCCUCAGGCUGCACCAGGAUAUUCCUGUCCUCUGAGUGCUCAAAAUGUGCUGGAUUUGUGCAGAGAUGGGUUGUUAUUCAGGAAAAUAAGAGAUUGGUUGAUAUUAAAGAAGAGAUUUGGUUGAUAUUAAAGAAAAUAAGGUAUUGGUUGAUAUUAAAGAAAAUAAGAGAUGGGUUGAUAUUAAAGAAAAUAAGAAUGGAACAAAUCCCAAAAAGAGGAGAAAAUUGGGAUGGAGCAAAUCCCAAAAAGAGGAAAAAACUGGGAUUGCACAAAACCCAUAAAAAGGGGAAAAUUGUGAUGGAAAUAACCCCAAAAGAGCAGAAAAAUUUGGGAUGGAACAAACCCCAAAAAGAGGAGAAANCAUUUGCUUUGAGCUGGUCCCUAUUUAAACCUAUAUUCCCUUUAAACCUACAUCCCAUUUAAACCUACAUCCCGUUCAAAACUACAUCCUUAAACCUACAUUUCAUUCAAACCUACAUUCUUAAAAGUACAUUCUUAAACUUACAUUCUUAAAGUUACAUUUCAUUCAAAACUACCUUUUUAAAACUGCAUUUCAUUCAUAACUACAUUUUUAAAACUACAAUUCUGUUCAAAGCUACAUUUUUAAAACUACAUUUUUAAACCUACAUUUUUAAAA